AUUGAACGCUGGCGGCGUGCUUAACACAUGCAAGUAGAACGAUGUGGCGAACGGGUGAGUAAUACGUCGGUAACCUGUCCUCCUUUUUGGGAUAAGCCUUGGAAACGGGGUCUAAUACCUAAUAAAGGGGGAUGGGCUCGCGGCCUAUCAGCUUGUUGGUGGGGUGAUGGCCUACCAAGGCGGUGACGGGUAGCCGGCCUGAGAGGUUGAGCGGAAAGAUUGGGACUGAGAUCCGGCCCAGACGCCGAGGGGAGGCAGAAGUGGGGGAUAUUGCACAAUGGGGGAAAGCCUGAUGAAGCGACGCCGCGUGGGGGAUGAAGGGUUGCGGGUUGGAAACCUCUAUCGCUAUCGAACGGGUAGAUGGAGAAGAAGCGACGGCUAACUACGGGCCAGCAGCCGCGGUAAUUC
rnacentral:rRNA from 1 species